GGUUACAUAAAAGACUCAUUCGCUUCUUUAGUUAUAUAUAUGCGUCUCUUAAUCCUAAAAAACACUCUAUUCCCAUCCUGAUCUUUGACUUUUAGAUUAAUGUGCACCCAGCCAAAAUUAAACAGCUAGACGAUUAAAAUUCAUGACUUCUUUAUUAGAGAUUUAUCAUAAUUUACAGUUUAGUUUUUUCUACCUUGUGCUGGAAAAGGUGUCUCUCUAGAGUUCCACUUCACUGCCGCAUCAAUAUUUUCUUUAUAAAAAAUCUCUCUUUUGGGCAGUUGCUGCCGCAGACGGCCAACCUCUGCCCCAAUCGCUCCGCCUCCUUAUCUUGCUCCAAAACUAUAGCUUUAUAUCCAAAUCUAGAAUAACAUACCAGAAGAAAGAUACAAAAUUAUAUUGAUAAUAUCAAUAACAAUGUCAAUAAUAAUUGGGAAAAAAAAAAUAUGCAAACCAUAACAUAAUAAUCAUAUCCCAAUAACAUCGUAACAUAUACUCAUAUGCUCUAAAUUACAUGUAUUAUUCCAAAAAAAUCAUUCUAUACAUGCUUCUCUAUACCAGUAUUCAAAAUAUAAUCCACAUAUAUUGGUAAUGUAACCAAACAUUAUAGAAAGAGAGAUGAGAAAGAAUUUUAGCGGUCGAUCUCUUCUUCCUCGAAGAUUUGGCAUCUUGAUCAUCACCACCAGAUGUGUUGUCCAUGUUGUCGCUCUCGGAUCUGGUUCUUCUGUGCUGUUCAUCUCGGCUUCUUCUUCCAUUAAACAUUGAUUGUACGUUUUCCACCAUUCUUGCCAUCUACCCUUGCCUCUCCCAUGCUUCAAUCAUAAAAAAACAUCCGCAUCUUUAUGCAUGAAUGGAUGGAGAGAACUCGAAGAAAAUCGCAUUAAUUUAUGAGAAUUUAUCUUUGCUUCAAGAUAUUGUGAGAGAACCGUGUUGUGCGAGUGAGUGAGAGAACGUGUUAGACAAAGAGAGAUAGUUGUUGCUGCAAGAGAACGUGUGAGAGAUGAUUUUAUCGAGAAAAUU
rnacentral:lncRNA from 1 species